UCUUUGGAGGAACCGGGUUGGAGCACGACAGGGGUGCCAUCCGGCAUGAGUCCCGCUGUGUUGGAGAACGACAGCCACCUAGCUACGGUGCCUUGACCACGUCAGUCGAAGAGUGUUGUAACCGCACAGCAGCGAUGACGGACCACAGACCGGGUUGCCACGACAUCCGUGACAAACAUACGGCUGCGGCUACUGGUGGUGGUGUAUAAAAGACCGUCGAUUUUACAACGCAGCAUGUACCUCCAAUGGGUCCUCCUUUAGGUUCAACUGCACGUACGAUGAGACCUCUGCUUCUAGUAUAUUGGGUAGCCAUGUGUGGCCUGCUGGUGUCAGGCAAUGCACUGCCACCUGCAGGUAAACCAAGUGGAAACCCUCCAGAUCAGACGGAGUCAUUUGGAAGCAAAGACACUCAAGCUCCCGCUGGAUUGAUCGGUCAGCCAAGUGGACCAAACAAAGCUGAAGAAGCACGCUGUCCACCGGAAACCGGCUCGCCCGUAAGCGAUGGGAGGAGCGGCGAUUCUGAGAGCAAGGAACAAGGCCAGAAGGAGCAGAGUGAACAUUUAGCGCGGCCAACACGCGACGUCGAGAACGAUAACGGGAAGGGGCCCCUUUCCUCUGAGGACAGAGUUGGAAGUAUGCAAGCAAAAUAGCACCAAACCUGGUGUAUCCCCUCCUAGACAAGGGAAGGCAGAUGGCACUUAUGAAGUGAUCUUCGGCUAUCAACAAUCUUAAUUAAUAUCGAAAAUCCCCAGUUUCAUGAACUGGGCUUGCUUUUUAAACUGUAGCCAGGCGUAGUACGUUUUCCAGUGAUGCUACACAGCGUAUUCACUAUUCUUAUGAAAAUGCAGAAAAUGAUUAAAAUUACGCUGCUAUUACCGGCCCUAUCUAUAGCGCCAGUGAACAUGCGAUAACCUAUGCUCAAAUUAAAACAAAAUAUACGAAGCA